GGGCUGCGGCGAGGACCCGCGUCCGGCCGGCGGGCGGGGCGGGGUGGGGCGGGGCUGUCGCUUGGUGCUGAGGCCGAGGCCGGCUCUCGCUGAGAUCGGCUGAGGCAGCUAGCUUUGGCAUCUAGGCGGUGGCGUUCGGGCUCGCCGCAAACAAAGAUUAUCUUAAAGCAACGCUGGGCGUAAAUCUACGGCGUGGUAAUUCCAAUCGUGCACUUUCUUUCGUCGAGGUAAACACAGCAAGUAUUUAGAAAUAACUUCGGUUUCCAUCUGGUACCUCGGUUCUACGGAAAAGCAAAUGCGACAAUUGGAUUAUCACGGGACAGGUAUAGAAAACGUUCAUUCAUUCAAAAAACAAACAAACAAAAAACCCUUUGCUUCCUAAUUAAAACCGGUAUGACCAUGCUGUUAAUUAAAACUGCACCAAAAGAGGAGUGGACAGCAGGUCGAGGGAGGUGAUUGUCCCCCUCUACUCUUAUGUUGUGAGGCCUCACUUGGAGUGCUGCAUCCAGGUCUGGGGCCCCCAGCACAAGAAAGAUGCGGAGCUGUUAGAAUGGGGCCAGAGGAGGGCCACAAAGAUGAUCAGAGGGCUGGAGCCCUCUUCUAUGAAGAAGGGCUGAGAGAGCUGGGGCUGUUCUGCCUGAAGAAGAGAGGGCUCCGGGGUGACCUUAUUGCAGCUUUUCAGUCCUUGAAGGAGUCUUAUAAAAAAGAUGGACAGCAACUUUUUACUCAAUCAGAUAAUGACAAGACAAGGGGGAAUGGUUUUAAACUAAAAGACGGGAGAUUUAGAUUAGAGGUUAAGAGAAAAUUUUUCCCUCAGAGAGUGGUGAGGCACUGGCACAGGUUGCCCAAAUAGGUUGUGGAUACCCCAUCCCUGGAGGUGUUCAAGACCAAAUUGGAUGAGCAGCCUGAGCAACCUGAUCUAGUAGGUUGCAUCCCUGCCUAUGGCAGGGGGGUUGGAAUUAGAUGUUCUUUAGGGUUCCUUCCAACCUGAGCCAUUCUAUGAUUGAUUUGACUCAGGCACACGUGAGAGACAGAACCAUAUCGGGCUGGAACACCAUUUUGAGACCAUCCAAGAAAAAUUAUGUAUAACGCUGACAUGCAUAGAACAGUCAAAAAUAAAGUAUUUUUCAAAGUGUGGCAAAUACUUAACCAGGAUGCUACAUUGUUAAUCUUCCUGUGGUAAAUAAGAUGCUGAGUUAUAAUGCUUAAAAAUUAUUUAAAGAACUAAUUUCCCAGGAAACCUACCUGAGAAAUAAGCAAUGCAAAACUCAUACCUGUGGACAGCAAUUGUAUCAUGCAGCACUAAAUUCAGGUAAUGGAUGAAAGACCACACUGAAGCAAGAACAUUUUGGUAAGAAAUUGUAAAUGAAUUGACAGAACUAUUGGGGUCUGAAGGCACUUCUGGAGAUCAUCUAUUGCAGCCCUCCUGCUUGCUUAAGCAGGGUCACCUAGAGCAGGACCACGUCUAGUUGAGUUUUGAGUAUUUCCACAGGUGGAGAUUCCACAACCCUUCCGGGCAACUUCUGCCAGUGUUUAACCACCCUCACUGUUAAAGAAUGUUUUCUUCUGUAACAUUUACAAAUACGGUUUAAUUCUCAUCUGAGUUGAAGUUCUGCUUAUACAAACCUUGUAUUUCUCUUAAACUCCUACACCUCCGCUUGAAAGGGAAAUAAAAAGUAUUAAUUUUUGGUGAGUGAAUUAGGAUGGUUUUCCAGGUACUAUUUACUAUUUGCUUACUGAAUGUAUCUGAUUAAAUAUUCCUUGAUUUUCUACAAAUGUUACUGUUUAUUUACAAACCGAAAUGGGCUAAGCUGUGAGUAGAUAUCAGUGUUUAAAAAAAAAAAAAAGGUUAGUUUAGGAACAUUCUACAACGUAGCAGUUAUACUUGCACACAUUAUUGGUUCCUCUGUCAUUCUUCGUAAGUUCUUUCUGCUGCUGCUCAUUUCCUGCAAUGAUUACUUGUAUUUGGUGAAAUAAAAUAUUUAGACCAUUAAUUCAUCUUUUUUAAGUGCACAGACUCUAGCUUAAAGGAGGUAAGAAGAAGUUGAACUUUCUCCUAGGGAAUUUGCUUCAAUGGCAGUUUGAACCCUUGUACAUCCAUAAGCUAACUCUUCCCAUAAUAAGGCACACUUCAAAUCUGCUACAGCCAAGACCACCUACAGUGGGAAUAUUUCAUUUACUAAAAUGGGUUUAAAGUAAAACAUAUUAGUGAUUUACACAGAAUAAUUAUGAAAAACACAUUCCCCCAUAACCUUUUGAUUGUGCAUUUUGUUUAAUAAGACAUUCCCAUGCAAACUUUUUAAAUAAAGUUUUCUGACAAUAGUAACAGAUAAUUUCAAAAUUUCACAGUUCCAUGGCUAAUGUGAGAUUAAUAUGGGACAAGUUGCACAAAAUGGUAAAAAUGUACCACUUGAAUUUUUUUGACUACUUGUAAGAAUUUCCUUUGGAAGCAGAGAAAUAGUUACAAAGGCUCCUGAGCUACCACAGCACAAAAUCACAGAAUGCUUUGGGUUGGAAGGGACCUUAAAGAUUAUUUUGGGGGUUCUUUCCCUUCUAACGUGCAUCACUUUUCUCAUUUCAAAUUUCAUUUGCCAUUUUAAUAGUCACUCAGUCUCACAACCUUCUCCUGCAGUUCUUUGCACCAGCCUCAUCUUUCCUACACUGAAUAACUUAGUAUUAUCAGUAAACUCUAUCACUUCACUGUUGACCUCCUUUUCCAGAUUAUUUGUAGAUAUUCCAAAUAGCAAAGACAGAGCAAAGCCAUGCUGCUUACUUUUCCCUACAAAACCUGAUGAUUUUUCAAAUUCACUUUGGAAGUUCAAGCAUUCUCUAUCAAGCAUUCUCUAUCAACCAAGCAUCCCUUGUUCACACAUCUAUUAGCUGCCUCAGCAAACUCCAAUUAUUUUAUGAGGUAUGACUUCCUUUGACAGAAACCCUUCUCUAGCACAUCGCAUUUAUCUGUGUCCACUAUUUCUGUACUUCUUACUUGCACUUAAUUUACAUGGUUUAUCAGGCUUACUAGUACAUAUUUUUUCCAGAUCUCUCUUGGAGACCUUUUAAAGAAAUGGCAUCCAACUUGCCUCUUAUUAAAAAGAAUGUUUACUUACCACAGAUUUCUGGUGUGUGUGAAUUCAUAAGACCAAGUUCCCAAGCCCAUUUUAUGAGUGAGAGGGGAUACUGAAGUAGGAAAAAUUACCUUCCAGUUCAGCACAGUUAACAUUUUAAAUUUUAUUCUGAUUAAGAUAAAAAUCUAUUUUCCCUGUACUGUAUGAUAGAUUCAUCUCUCCAGUUUUGUCACAUUGUGCAGCAACAGGAAUAAUGUCCUCCACAACAAUUUUAUGAGCAGCAGCUUGAAACUCUUUCUGCUCGUAAGUUCU